GCCUAACUCACUAGCCAUGCACAUGGCCGCCUCCUUGAUCCACCCCCCGCUUGUGAUUGUUGUCCACCCUAAAUCUCGGGUCUAGAAUACCAAUAGAUCUAGAUCUAAGGGCCUCAUAGAUUCAAAGGGACUAGGAAUUGUAGAGGAUUUUAAUCCUCGAAAAUUUCCCAACGAAGAAUCAAAGAGGCGCUGAAUUUGGUUACUUCGGUCUCUGCAUCACCUUGGAGUAAGAGCGUGGAUUGCGGCCCGGAUACAAAGUCAAGACCGCCGGAGCAACAAGCGUACGUCAACAGAUUUAAAUGGUGGCAGUUGCUUUCCUUGAGAGAUAUAGGUUGGGGGCCACCAAAUAAAUUGUGUUUAGUUAUUUUAGGUAUUUAUUUUGUAAUGAUUACCUGCUAAAAUAAAGCACGUGAUCAGUUUUACUUUCUUUGGUUAUUUUGAUCGAGAGUUAGAGAUAGAAAGAAAGUUUGUUCGGUCAACUUCUUAGGCAAGUUUGAGU